GUGGGGAAUCUUCCGCAAUGGACGAAAGUCUGACGGAGCAACGCCGCGUGAGUGAUGAAGGUCUUCGGAUUGUAAAGCUCUGUUAAUCGGGACGAAAGAGCCUAGUGUGAAUAAUGCUAGGAAGUGACGGUACCGGAAUAGAAAGCCACGGCUAACUACGUGCCAGCAGCCGCGGUAAUACGUAGGUGGCAAGCGUUGUCCGGAAUUAUUGGGCGUAAAGCGCGCGCAGGCGGAUCUGCCAGUCUGUCUUAAAAGUUCGGGGCUUAACCCCGUGAUGGGAUGGAAACUACAGAUCUAGAGUAUCGGAGAGGAAAGUGGAAUUCCUAGCGUAGCGGUGAAAUGCGUAGAUAUUAGGAAGAACACCAGUGGCGAAGGCGACUUUCUGGACGAAAACUGACGCUGAGGCGCGAAAGCCAGGGGAGCGAACGGGAUUAGAUACCCUUGUAGUCC
rnacentral:rRNA from 1 species